rnacentral:rRNA from 1 species
UACGUAGGGGGGCAAGCGUUGUCCGGAUUUAUUGGGCGUAAAGAGCGUGUAGGCGGCCAUACAGGUCAGCUGUGAAAACUCGAGGCUCAACCUCGAGACGUCGGUUGAAACCGUAUGGCUAGAGUCCGGAAGAGGAGAGUGGAAUUCCCGGUGUAGCGGUGAAAUGCGCAGAUAUCGUAAGGAAGACCAGUGGCGAAGGCGGGUCUCUGGACAGUUCCUGACGCUGAGGCACGAAGGUCAGGGGAGCAAACAGGG